rnacentral:lncRNA from 1 species
GUGCUGAGCGGGCUGAUAUGAAAAGUUUAUCACAUGCUUCGAUUAAUAUCACAUGCCUUUCCGUAACGUUAUCAAGGCAUUCCGGUGAUACUCGGCAAAUUCCGGAAAAUACACCUCAAUGCUACGUUUUCGGUGAAAAACAUUACAAAGUAGUGUACAAAACAAUUAUUUGAAUACUGGAAAGUAUAUUGUGUGAAUUAAU